GAUGAACGCUGGCGGCGUGCUUAACACAUGCAAGUCGAACGGAAAGGCCAGUGCUUUCCCUCGCACUCGAUUGGCGAACGGGUGAGUAUCACGUGGGUGUUCUGCCCUGCACUUCGGGAUAAGCCUGGGAAACUGGGUCUCAUACCCGAUAGGACCACUUCAACGUCGUUGUUGUGGAGAGUAUGUUCGGUGUGGGGUGAGCUCGCGACCUAUCCGCUUGGUGGUGGGGUAAUGGCCUACCAAGGCGUCGACGGGUCGCCGGGCUGAGAGGGUGUACGGCCACAUUGGGAGUGAGACACGGCUCAGACUCCUACGGGAGGGAGCAGAGGGGAAUAUGGCACAAGGGGCGGAAGCGUGAUGCAGCGACGGCGCGUGAGGGAUGACGGCCUUGGGGGUGUAAACGCCUUUCGCAAAAGACGAAUUUUGACGGUAUCUGGAGAAGAAGCACCGGCUAACUACGUG
rnacentral:rRNA from 1 species